GCCGGCGUAGCUCAAUGGUAGAGCAGCUGAAUCGUAAUCAGCAGGUUGUAGGUUCAAGUCCUAUCGCCGGCUCCA
rnacentral:tRNA from 1 species